GCCUUCGUGGUGUAGUGGUCAGCACACUCGGCGCUUAUUCUAGAGGUCCGUGGUUCGAUUCCCGGCGAAGGCG
rnacentral:tRNA from 1 species